rnacentral:lncRNA from 1 species
AUAUUAGGGCCUUAUAAUGGUAGGGUCAGUUCUUAAACACAAGUCCUUUUCUUACUGUCUUCAGGCUGAUAAGGGUUUUUAACAAAUACUCCAGUUUUGGCUCUUCUGUUGCACCCUUAUAAGACUUGUUGUCUUCGAGUCUUUUCUUGUUAAGGUGGAAAAUGUCUCCAAGACGUGCUGCAUUGCAAUGGUAGCUGGAAAUGCAAAGAGAAAAAGGGGUCAACCCCCCCAGUAGGGGUCAGGGAACACCUGAGCUGAUCUGCCUCCACCACAAGCAGGAAUGGUAAUAGAGCACAGCUGAGACACCUAAGUGUGCAAUCUCUACCAGGUUUUGCACAGAACUGGGCACAGCUUUGAAAAUCUGUCAUGCAAGUGGAGACCAAUACAGAGAGAGCUUCAUUCAGAAGAAAUUGCUAUUGUUUCUUUGCCUUCCCAUGGGAAAGCUUUCAUUUUGGAAACCAUUCAAUAAAUGUAAGGAGUUCUUUGACAUACAAAUGGAUGUGCGGAGUUGGAGCAGAGGUGCAUCUAGUGAAGUAACCAAUCUCCUAAUGCAUGCUUAGGAAAGAGAAAAAGAACAAGCUUCCUCUACUAAUAAUCCACACACCUGCACUUGGCCAGGCUACUGACAGAAAUGACCAGUGCCAUUGUGAACUUUGGUGUUUCCUGAUCUGAAGUGUUUAUGUAGAAGCUAGAACAAAUGCCUAAACCUGUGGGACUAACAUGUCAUGUCAAACAUUGCAUGGCUUUUUUAGCUUUCCCUUCCUAUAUUCCAUUCCUUGCUAUGUUAUACUUCCAAGUUGUCUAGAGCAGAAAUCUUUUCUCAUAUCAUAGCCCUUCAGCCAAAAAUAAUAAAAUAUAAUGUACAAGAAUAAUUAAGAUGCA